AUGCUCACAAAGGCGCAAUGGAUUGCCCUGUCAAAAGAAAAGGAGGGCGGAUCUACGAGCAGUGGUAUGAAGAACGGGAAAGGGAAGCAGCGCUCGGCAAGAAAGAACUUCGCCGACUCGGAUGACGAGUCAGAUGAUGAGGCUGCACCACCACCGAGGAGAAAGUUUGACAUCAGGAAAGUGAGGUGUUAUAACUGUGGCCUCCUCGGUCACUUCAAGGCUGACUGCGAGGAAACACCGAAGUAG
rnacentral:rRNA from 1 species